rnacentral:rRNA from 1 species
AACGAACGCUGGCGGCGUGCUUAACACAUGCAAGUCGAACGGAAAGUCCCUGCUUUUUUGGGGUGCUCUAGUGGCGACCGGGUGAGUAACACGUGAGUAACCUGCCCUUGACUUUGGGAUAACUUCAGGAAACUGGGGCUAAUACCGGAUAGGAGCUCCUGCUGCAUGAUGGGGGUGGGAAAGUUUCGGUGGUUGGUGAUGUACUCGCGGCUUAUCAGCUUGUUGGUUGGGUAGUGGCUUACCAAGGCUUUGACGGGUAGCCGGCCUGAGAGGGUGACCGGACAAAUUGCGCCUGAGAUAAGGCCCAGACUCGUAUGGGACGCAGGAGUGGAGAAUAUUGCACAAUGGGAGGAAGCAUGAUGAAGCAACGCCGCGUGCGGGAAGACGGGCUUGCGGUAGGAAAGCGAUUUCGCCUGUGACGAAGCGUGAGUGACGGUAAUGGGUAAAGAAGCACCGGCUAACUCCGUG